AUGUACCAAAUUUUUUUUGCAGCUUGAAAAGUUGAACUCUCGAGGCUUUGAAAUCAUUUUAGUUACCUCAGAAGCUAUUGGAGCCGGCUGCCAAAGGCUUAAAUACAGGAAAAUGAUCAACAACAGAAAUGGAAACCGCCAGCGAGGUCGUGGUGAGCAAGUAGCUUGGCUCGAACUAUCCGGUUCCGUGGAAGUGUCAAACUGAACAGUUGACAAAACCAAGUCAAGUCUGGUCAACCGGGUUCCGUACACUCACUGAGUGGUGCUGAAUUAAGAGCAAAAGGCAACCGUGGGUUAAGGAGGAAACGUUGAUGGUGUCAUGGCGACACUAAAAAAUAACAAUAAUAAAGAAUUAAAAGCCGGAAAGUUCAAUGUGGGUAG